UACGGAGGGUGCAAGCGUUGUCCGGAUUUAUUGGGCUUAAAGGGUGCGUAGGUGGCUUGUUAAGUCCGGGGUGAAAGCCCACAGCUCAACUGUGGAACUGCCCUGGAUACUGGCGAGCUUGAGUCCAGACGAGGUUGGCGGAAUGGAUGCUGUAGCGGUGAAAUGCAUAGAUAGCAUCCAGAACCCCGAUUGCGUAGGCAGCUGACUAGGCUGGUACUGACACUGAGGCACGAAAGCGUGGGGAGCGAACAGG
rnacentral:rRNA from 1 species